AGUAAAUAAAUGGGUUAGGCAUAUCAAAUCAAACCCCAAUAUUUCCUGACCUUUACAUGAACUUUUCCAUUAAUGUACAUCACACAGAUGUGGGAAGGUCAGUUUAUGGCAUGUUGUGUUAACAGAAAGAGACAGCAGAGUAUUUAGUGAAAGAGACGCUAAAGGAGUCAGAUGUGGCUUUAGGAUGUGUCUGAUAGGUCUUUAUUCUCUAAAGCAGAUAAAAAGGGACUGAUCAGCUAUAAGAUGAAGAUUUGGCAGAACAUACAGGUUAUAAAUUGGCAUGACGUCUAUAUGAAAUGCAGAUAAAUGUGUGUUGGAAAGAAAAUGUCCAUAUAACUUUAUCCUGAACUUCAUACAAAAUGAGGAAACACAAAUGAAAGCUGUUAUUGUGGACUGAAACACUCUCACGUAUAUUAGUGUAAUGUCAACAACAAAUAUUCCAGCAGUUUCAGUCACUAAAAAUUGGGGUGGGAAAACCCUUUCACUGUUACAUUGCAGAAAAGCAAAAAGCAAAAUGACAAUGAUUACAUAUAUGAAAGAGCAGAAGAGAUGAAACAGAUUAGACCUCCCCGUCCCUCCAGUCCUCAACUAAGCUGCACUCCACCCUCCAGUCCAGUAGGUGGCAGAAUCUGCACCUUUACACUGUUUGCCAAACACCAGUAAACAGAAGAAGAAAGUUGUUUGAAAACGCCUCAUCUUAAACCCUUCAGAAACCCUGCUGUUUCCAGCUCUCAGAUAAGACCAGUGUCUGAUGAUCUUGUGUAAAUGAUUGUCUGUGCAAAUGAUGUGGAGUUUUGUUGAUUAGUCUUUAAUGAGGUUAUUGGUUUGUGGAGGCUUGUGUUUAUACUGUAACUCUUAUAUUUGUCUGAGAACAUGUUAAAGAUGAAGGAGCAUCUGUCUAGUGCAAUAUCACAGCUGAGCAAGAAGACAAGCACAAGAAUAAAAUCCCCACAUCCUCUCCAUCAGCUCAUCUACAGAUCAGAUCAGUGAAGCGAGUGAUCAGCUGUAACUCUCGGCCUGUUUGUUGGCUGAGUGUUAGAGAAAUGAUGGUGAAUUUACCACAGCGCUGUGUUUAAUCUGUCUCAGACACCAUCAAGCAGAUCUAUAAUAGUGGAGGAACCCUUUCUGCUCACCUGGUGAUGCUGACCGGCCGAGAGGAGCAGGAGAGAACACACGGACAGGUGAACUGCUGAGCAAACACUGGAGGAGAAACACACAGAGAGGCUGUGAUUGCGGUGCAGGUCAGUGUAAUCCUGCAGAGUGUACCUGCGGUGGAGUGUGAUGCUGAGCAUGGAAACCCUACAGAUGUAGAAAUCCUGCUUCAGCUUGCUCUCCUCGCUUCAUUUAACAGUAGUGGUGGGCAAAGUGAGGCUUCAUGAAACUGAAACAGUCGAAGCAAAUGUGUCAAAGCUUUGAAACGUUUCAAAACUCUACAGUGACGCCUAGUGGUAAUUGUUAUACAUUGCUCUGGAACAGCUUCAGCAAAGAACAAUUGAGCAAAUUGAGGUAUUAAAACCCACUUUGUACCUUUGAACCUACAAGUGUUGUAGCGGAGCGGUCAGAGUUCCUGACUAUCAUGCAGGGAUACUGGGUUCGAAUCCAGGCAAAUGCAGGUAUGUUGAAAUGCUCUGUUCUUGUAUUGUUUUGUUUCAACAUUGGUCAGACAUCAGAAUAAACACUAUUUGUGAAUAAAUAUGUCUUGUUUUGGUCAUUAAACAGGGUUGUUUCUAGAUCAGACACAGUUGUGGUCAGAAG